UACGAAGGGGGCUAGCGUUGCUCGGAAUCACUGGGCGUAAAGCGCACGUAGGCGGAUUGUUACGUCGGGGGUGAAAUCCUGGAGCUCAACUCCAGAACUGCCUUCGAUACUGGCGAUCUUGAGUCCGGGAGAGGUGAGUGGAACUCCGAGUGUAGAGGUGAAAUUCGUAGAUAUUCGGAAGAACACCAGUGGCGAAGGCGACUUACUGGACACAUAUUGACGCUGAGGUGCGAAAGCGUGGGGAGCAAACAGG
rnacentral:rRNA from 1 species